AGAGCGAACGCUGGCGGCAGGCUUAACACAUGCAAGUCGAGCGGGCGUAGCAAUACGUCAGCGGCAGACGGGUGAGUAACGCGUGGGAACAUACCUCUUGGUUCGGAACAACACAGGGAAACUUGUGCUAAUACCGGAUAAGCCCUUACGGGGAAAGAUUUAUCGCCGAGAGAUUGGCCCGCGUCUGAUUAGCUAGUUGGUAGGGUAAUGGCCUACCAAGGCGACGAUCAGUAGCUGGUCUGAGAGGAUGAUCAGCCACAUUGGGACUGAGACACGGCCCAAACUCCUACGGGAGGCAGCAGUGGGGAAUAUUGGACAAUGGGGGCAACCCUGAUCCAGCCAUGCCGCGUGAGUGAUGAAGGCCCUAGGGUUGUAAAGCUCUUUUGUGCGGGAAGAUAAUGACGGUACCGCAAGAAUAAGCCCGGCUAACUUCGUGCCAGCAGCCGC
rnacentral:rRNA from 1 species